GACGAACGCUGGCGGCGUGCUUAACACAUGCAAGUCGAACGGAAAGGCCUGCUUUCCCUUGUGGAUUGCGGGUACUCGAGUGGCGAACGGGUGAGUAACACGUGAGUGAUCUGCCCCCAACUUGGUUAUAAGCCUGGGAAACUGGGUCUAAUUCCCGAUAGGACUGCAGGGUGGUGCCUGUGGUGGAAAACGAUUUUCUAGUGGUUGGGGAUGAGCUCGCGGCCUAUCAGCUUGUUGGUGGGGUAAUGGCCUACCAAGGCGGCGACGGGUAGCCGGCCUGAGAGGGUGGACGGCCACAUUGGGACUGAGAUAAGGCCCAGACUCCUACGGGAGGCAGCAGUGGGGAAUAUUGCACAAUGGGCGGAAGCCUGAUGCAGCGACGCCGCGUGGGGGAUGACGGCCUUCGGGUUGUAAACUCCUUUCGACCGCGAGGAAGCCACCUGGUUGGAAGGGUGGUGACGGUAGUGGUAGAAGAAGCACCGGCUAACUACGUG
rnacentral:rRNA from 1 species